AUCACAUGAAGGGUAAAUAUCUGAUUUACCAAUUAGUUUAAAAUGUAAAAAAAUCAUAAUUAAUAUUAGGGCAGACCUUAUUUUGUCAUUCUUUUAUACCAAUGUUUAUACAUAGGAAAGCUAACCCAACCUUAAUCCCUCACAUUGCUACAAAACAUGAUGAAUCUAUUAAAGAUAAGCAAAAAAAUAAUGACGAAUAAACAAACGCCUUGCCCGUUCUAGAGUUACUCGUAGCCAAAAUAAUAAAGAACUACGCUUGAAAUUAACUCCUCUGGAAUUGCCUCCAAAUGAUAUUUCUAUCACCACUACCACAAUCCCUAUGCAACCUCUGCCUAUUUUUUAAAAAAUAUAAGCAUUCAAUUCCGUACUAUUAUUCAUUUCACUAGGAGUUAUUAUAAAUAUUACUUUAUCCGAUUCUCUGAGAAACUUUCAUGAUUAUUUAGAGGAAUGUUCAAACUUGAAUGUGCAGUACAGCCAUUUUCAUCAACUUUAUUAAUGGAAAAAUAUGCAGUAAUUCUGUCGUGCCUUUAUAACAAUUCUUACUGCGUUUUUAUGGCUGAGUUAACAUUGUCAUUUAUGAUUCUAUUCUAGAGGAAACUACCAAUGCUGACAUUGACAGAAAUAUCAUUUUGGGUUCUUCUUUUACCAGUAUCCCAAGGCAUAGGCAUAUGACUCAUCUUUACCAGGACGUAUUGUGUUUUGUACACUUCUCUUGAAUCCGUCAUUACUUUCAUCUACAACCCUAAAUGAUAUGAAAUUGUACAUUAAUUAUUUCCUUUCCAGACAACCUUCCAGAUUUAUUUUGUAGCUUUUUCCAUCAAAAAUUAAAAUGUCAACAAUUAUUUGCUCUUAAUUUUAUCAAAUACACAACAUUAUAAUUAUUCCUCAUUAUUUUUUAAAAAAAUUAGCCUAACUUUAUAUGUCAAUAAAAAAUAUUUUAUAAUUU